CCUACGGGGGGCUGCAGUAAGGAAUAUUGGUCAAUGGGCGGAAGCCUGAACCAGCCAUGCCGCGUGCAGGAAGACGGCCCUACGGGUUGUAAACUGCUUUUAUUCGGGAAUAAACCCUUUUACGUGUAAGAGGCUGAAUGUACCGAAGGAAUAAGGAUCGGCUAACUCCGUGCCAGCAGCCGCGGUAAUACGGAGGAUCCAAGCGUUAUCCGGAUUUAUUGGGUUUAAAGGGUGCGUAGGCGGCUUAUUAAGUCAGGGGUGAAAGACGGUGGCUC
rnacentral:rRNA from 1 species